AAAAUUUAUUUUGUGCUUAUUAAAGGGAUGCUUUCACAAUAGUGUAUCAUUCCUUUUGUUGAAUUUGAAAUUUCUGUGGUCAGUACUUCAUUAGUCUCAGCAAGUCUUGCUUUUAAGACUUUUCAGAUUGGUAGUAUUUCUGUUUCAUUAAGUCUUUUCUUUAUGUAAGUUGUCACUUCACUUAGGUCAGAUGAAAUCUGUUGCUCCACAAAGAAGGUGGUCAUCAUUAAGAGGUGGUUUUAGUUGGCUGGUGCUUUGCAUGGUAACAGAGUGGUGCCCUUUGUUAGCAUUCUGGGUCAGAGUAUUGGCUGGAGUUAAGGGUACUUGCAGCCUGGGCAUGCUAGACACACUUGUAGUUCUUCUAAGUCAGAUUUCAUAGGAAACCUCAUACGUCCUUGUCCUUGGGUCAAACCAAAAUGCAUUCCAAUGUCAAGGAGAAGUUAUGAGUAGAUUCAGCAAUUUUAGAUGGUUUAAUUUCUGUUCUAGAACUAUUUUUUUAUUUGGUACCGGGGAUUGAACUUGGGUCCUUGUGCUUGCGCAGCAGGUGGUGAAAUCACUGAGCUAAAUUCCUGGCCCUAUUCUAGUACUAUUAAACUAUAUGAACUAUUCUAUUACUGCAGCUAUGUAAGCAUCAACUUUAAUAAGCUCUCCUUUUUGUUUAUAGAAGGUUACUUAUGGCUUUCUUCCGAAUGUUAAAGCUGAUCUUGUACUGUUGUAUCCUCUUGUAAAAUCCCUUCUAGUGCUGGGAUACUUUGAUGGCGAUUGUAUUAGAUUUUAGGGAUAUCUUUUCUCUGACCCAAAACUUUGUUGAUUUUUAAAAAUCAACAAAACUGCUUUUUUUUUUAAAGUGCAAAAAUUAAUCCCACUUAAUUCUGCUAUGCAUUCUGCUACAUAUAUGAACAGAACUUUUGUAACUGCGGUAACAGUCAAUAGAUAGGAAAUCAGUUAUUCUUGCAUCCUUUUAGAAUUUUGAAAACUUACUAGGCACUAAAACUUUACUGUAGAACAGAGUCCCUAAGCUGUCUAUGUAAUGAUUAUGUUUAAUUUCAAAAGAAUUCUUAGGCUCUACAAUCAAAGAGGGAUAAAACUAUUUCUAUUUUUCAUGGGAAAAGGACAGUAGAACGUGCAAUAAAGUAACAUAAUCUUGUAUGGCAGGCGCCGGAACCACUGAGCUAAAUCCCUGGCCCCUUAUUCGUUUUAUUUUUAACAAAUUUGGUU
ensembl:lncRNA